CACGUAGGGGGCAAGCGUUGUCCGGAUUUAUUGGGCGUAAAGAGCUCGUAGGCGGCUUAGUAAGUCGGGUGUGAAACCUCCAGGCUCAACCUGGAGACGCCACCCGAUACUGCUGUGGCUAGAGUCCGGUAGGGGAGCGUGGAAUUCCUGGUGUAGCGGUGAAAUGCGCAGAUAUCAGGAGGAACACCAGCGGCGAAAAGCGGCGCACUGGACCACAACUGACGCUGAGGCGCGAAAGCUAGGGGAGCAAACAGG
rnacentral:rRNA from 1 species